rnacentral:tRNA from 1 species
UCCCUAGUAGCUCAGAUGUAAAGCAUCUGCUUGCAAUGAAGGAGACCUGGGUUCAAUCCCUGGAUUGGGAA